rnacentral:rRNA from 1 species
GUAUAAGAGACAGCAGCAGCCACGGGAAUACGUAGGGUGCAAGCGUUAAUCGGAAUUACUGGGCGUAAAGCGUGCGCAGGCGGUUAUAUAAGUCAGAUGUGAAAUCCCCGGGCUCAACCUGGGAACUGCAUUCGAGACUGUAUGGCUAGAGUGUGUCAGAGGGGGGUAGAAUUCCACGUGUAGCAGUGAAAUGCGUAGAUAUAUGGAGGAAUACCGAUGGCGAAGGCAGCCCCCUGGGAUAACACUGACGCUCAUGCACGAAAGCGUGGGGAGCAAACAGGAUUAGAUACCCCAGUAGUCCCUGUCUCUUAUAC